GACGAACGCUGGCGGCGUGCCUAAUACAUGCGAGUAGAACGCUGAAGGAGGAGCUUGCUUCUCUGGAUGAGUUGCGAACGGGUGAGUAACGCGUAGGUAACCUGCCUGGCAGCGGGGGAUAACUAUUGGAAACGAUAGCUAAUACCGCAUAAUAGUAGAUGUUGCAUGACAUUUGCUUAAAAGGUGCAAUUGCAUCACUACCAGAUGGACCUGCGUUGUAUUAGCUAGUUGGUGGGGUAACGGCUCACCAAGGCGACGAUACAUAGCCGACCUGAGAGGGUGAUCGGCCACACUGGGACUGAGACACGGCCCAGACUCCUACGGGAGGCAGCAGUAGGGAAUCUUCGGCAAUGGACGGAAGUCUGACCGAGCAACGCCGCGUGAGUGAAGAAGGUUUUCGGAUCGUAAAGCUCUGUUGUAAGAGAAGAACGAGUGUGAGAGUGGAAAGUUCACACUGUGACGGUAUCUUACCAGAAAGGGACGGCUAACUACGUG
rnacentral:rRNA from 1 species